GCCAGCGAUGGCCGCUUGCGAGGUGCUGCAUGGUUGUCGUCAGCUCCGUGCCGUGAGGUGUCGGGUUAAGUCCCAUAACGAGCGCAACCCCUACUGCUAGUUGCCAGCGGGUCAUGCCGGGGACUCUAGCGGAACUGCCAGCGUAAGCUGCGAGGAAGGUGGGGAUGACGUCAAAUCAGCACGGCCCUUACGUCCAGGGCUACACACGUGUUACAAUGGCCGGUACAGAGGGCAGCCACCCCGCGAGGGGGCGCGAAUCCCGAAAGCCGGUCCCAGUUCGGAUCGGAGUCUGCAACCCGACUCCGUGAAGCUGGAUUCGCUAGUAAUCGCGCAUCAGCCACGGCGCGGUGAAUACGUUCCCGGGCCUU
rnacentral:rRNA from 1 species